CAGAAUGUCAAUGCCAACAGAGAAUUUCUGCAGCUCAAUGUUCAAAAAUUAUGUGCAGAGGAAAGGUGCUCAUCUGCUGUACCCUCAGUUCUCUUUCCUGUUUGUGAUUUAUAAUAGAAUAAUUUUUUUUUUUCACUACUUGCCUAAAUUACAUA